ACUCUGGAGAAUCCCGGAUAUCGGGUGCCGACGGUGCAAGGCAGGCUGUUGCCCGCUGAAACUCUCAGGCAAAAGGACAGAGAA
rnacentral:ncRNA from 1 species